AUCCUUCAUAGCGCCGAAAUCCUGAACCAAAGUUUUCUUCGCUGACAAUUUUUGACCACCAUUCGCAAUCAGGUUCACCACAGACUGUGAAAAUCCAGGUCCCGGAAUAAAUACAUAAAAGUUGCCACCUGUAUUCAAAGAACUCCUGUAAUGAAGACAUCAAAGCGAUUUGCGAUACGAUCUUUUGCACUGGUGUGCUUGAUGAGAAAUCAGCAGUUAUCAGAUCAACAUAACCAGGAACUUUGACAUUCUUUGAUAUUUCAUGUGACAUGGUAUCAAAAAAUGAAGAGUAGUUUACAUCAUAGAUAUUAUUAGAAUCCACUUCUACAUUCAA